GAUCUCCUUAAAAGAUCGCUUCAGGACGACAAUUAAACUGUCGGAUAUCUUGGUAUCAGCAAAGACAUAAAAAUCAAUAAAACUUUUAAAAAAUAAGUCAAGGCCAAAAAAAGGGGACGAGGCACAUACAUCCACUGCUUCCACUACGAUUAACCCGCUUAUGUUCAAAAUCCAAGAGCUUGUUAACAAGGAUGUAAGUCUUGUCUCGAGCACUAUUGAGGCCCUUCAGAAGGAGCAAACAUAAUCUUUUC
rnacentral:lncRNA from 1 species